UUUAUUAUAAAUUGUUAAAAGUAAUUAUUAUGAGAUUUGUUUAAGUAUUUUAUAAAGAAAAAAUAAUUUUAA
rnacentral:tRNA from 1 species